UACGGGGGGGGCAAGCGUUGUUCGGAAUUACUGGGCGUAAAGGGCUUGUAGGUGGCCAACUAAGUCAGACGUGAAAUCCCUCGGCUUAACCGGGGAACUGCAUUGGUGACUGCAAGGCUUGAGUGUGUCAGAGGGAGGUGGAAUUCCGCGUGUAGCAGUGAAAUGCGUAGAUAUGCGGAGGAACACCGAUGGCGAAGGCAGCCUCCUGGGAUAACACUGACGCUCAUGCACGAAAGCGUGGGGAGCAAACAGG
rnacentral:rRNA from 1 species